GAUGAACGCUAGCGGCAGGCUUAACACAUGCAAGUCGAACGGUAACAGCACUUCGGUGGCUGACGAGUGGCGCACGGGUGCGUAACGCGUAUGCAAUCUACCUUUUACAGCGGGAUAGCCCAGAGAAAUUUGGAUUAAUACCUCAUAGUAUAAUUGAGUGGCAUCAUUUAAUUAUUAAAGAUUUAUCGGUAAAAGAUGAGCAUGCGUUCUAUUAGUUAGUUGGAGUGGUAACGGCACCCCAAGACAGCGAUAGAUAGGGGCCCUGAGAGGGGGGAUCCCCCACACUGGUACUGAGACACGGACCAGACUCCUACGGGAGGCAGCAGUGAGGAAUAUUGGACAAUGGGCGAGAGCCUGAUCCAGCCAUGCCGCGUGCAGGAAGACUGCCCUAUGGGUUGUAAACUGCUUUUAUACAGGAAGAAACCUCCCGACGUGUCGGGACUUGACGGUACUGUAAGAAUAAGGAUCGGCUAAACUCCGGUGCCAGCAGCCG
rnacentral:rRNA from 1 species